GUCUCUUCCGAUCUCUGAUCGUGCCAGCAGCCGCGGUAAUACGUAGGUGGCAAGCGUUGUCCGGAUUUACUGGGCGUAAAGGAUGUGUAGGCGGAUAUUUAAGUGAGAUGUGAAAUCCCCGGGCUUAACUUGGGGGCUGCAUUUCAAACUGGAUGUCUAGAGUGCAGGAGAGGAAAGCAGAAUUCCUAGUGUAGCGGUGAAAUGCUUAGAGAUUAGGAAGAACACCA
rnacentral:rRNA from 1 species